GACGAACGCUGGCGGCGCGCCUAACACAUGCAAGUCGAACGAGCGAGAGAGAGCUUGCUUUCUUGAGUGAGUGGCGAACGGGUGAGUAACGCGUGAGGAACCUGCCUCAAAGAGGGGGACAACAGUUGGAAACGACUGCUAAUACCGCAUAAGCCCACGACCCGGCAUCGGGUUGAGGGAAAAGGAGCAAUCCGCUUUGAGAUGGCCUCGCGUCCGAUUAGCUAGUUGGUGAGGUAACGGCCCACCAAGGCGACGAUCGGUAGCCGGACUGAGAGGUUGAACGGCCACAUUGGGACUGAGACACGGCCCAGACUCCUACGGGAGGCAGCAGUGGGGAAUAUUGCACAAUGGGGGAAACCCUGAUGCAGCGACGCCGCGUGGAGGAAGAAGGUCUUCGGAUUGUAAACUCCUGUUGUUGAGGAAGAUAAUGACGGUACUCAACAAGGAAGUGACGGCUAACUACGUG
rnacentral:rRNA from 1 species